GCACUGCGGAGGAGUCCCAUACUAGGACGAAACGGCCGUCUAGUGC
rnacentral:hammerhead_ribozyme from 1 species